GAUGAACGCUGGCGGCGUGCCUAAUACAUGCAAGUCGAGCGACCAGACGAGGAGCUUGUGCCCCUGCGGUUAGCGGCGGACGGGUGAGUAACGCGUGGAUAACCUUCCUAUUAGUCGGGGAUAACAUCGGGAAACCACUGCUACUACCGCAUAAUACAUUUAACCGCAUGAUUCAAGAGUGAAAGACGCCUUUGCUGUCCCUUAUAGCUGGAUCCGGGUCGCCUUAGCUAGUGGGUAAGGUAACGGCCUACCAAGGCAACGUUGCGUAGCCGACCUGAGAGGGUGAUCGGCCACACUGGAACUGAGACACGGUCCAGACUCCUACGGGAGGCAGCAGUGGGGAAUCUUGGACAAUGGGCGAAAGCUUGACGGAGCAACGCCGCGUGGGUGAUGAAGGUCUUCGGGUUGUAAAGCUCUGUUGUUGGGAAAGAACAGAUGUAGAAUAAAAUACGCAUGUCUUGACGGUACCUAAUCAGAAAGCCACGGCUAACUACGUG
rnacentral:rRNA from 1 species